rnacentral:rRNA from 1 species
AUUGAACGCUGGCGGCAUGCCUUACACAUGCAAGUCGAACGGCAGCACGGGAGCAAUCCUGGUGGCGAGUGGCGAACGGGUGAGUAAUAUAUCGGAACGUGCCCAGUCGUGGGGAUAACGUAGCGAAAGUUACGCUAAUACCGCAUACGAUCUAAGGAUGAAAGCGGGGGAUCGCAAGACCUCGCGCGAUUGGAGCGGCCGAUAUCAGAUUAGGUAGUUGGUGAGGUAAAGGCUCACCAAGCCAACGAUCUGUAGCUGGUCUGAGAGGACGACCAGCACACUGGAACUGAGACACGGUCCAGACUCCUACGGGAGGCAGCAGUGGGGAAUUUU